rnacentral:rRNA from 1 species
AGCGAACGCUAACGGCGGGCCUAACACAUGCAAGUCGAGCGGGGAGCAAUCCCAGCGGCGAACGGGUGAGUAACACGUAGGUAAUGUGCCUUUUGGUGGGGAAUAACCGUGGGAAACCAUGGCUAAUACCGCAUAUCGUGCUUCGGCAUGAAAGCUUCUGAGGCAACUCGGGGGCGCCAGUUGAGCAGCCUGCGUCCCAUUAUUUAGUCCUAGUUGGUAGGGUAAUGGCCUACCAAGGGUACGAUGGGUAGCUGGUCUGAGAGGAUGAUCAGCCACACUGGAACUGAGACACGGUCCAGACUCCUACGGGAGGCAGCAGUGGGGAAUAUUGCGCAAUGGGGGGAAACCCUGACGCAGCCAGCCGCGUGAGUGAUGAAGGCCU